rnacentral:sRNA from 1 species
GCCCGUAGCCCUUCUGGGCGUUUCUCCCUAGACUUCGGGCCGUCCUUCGGGGCGGCUUUUUCUUUCAAAGGC